rnacentral:tRNA from 1 species
GGGCCCGUAGCGUAGCCAGGAUAGCGCGGCGGCCUCCUAAGCCGCAGGUCGGGGGUUCGAAUCCCCCCGGGCCCGCCA